rnacentral:guide_RNA from 1 species
AUGGAGGAGUGUAAUGCUCCGUAACUCG